ensembl:snRNA U6 U6 spliceosomal RNA
GUGCUCACUUGGAAGCAUGGAGACUAAAAUGGGAACAAUACAGAGAAGAUUCUGGUCUCUGGGCAAGGAUGGCAUGCAAAUUCAUGAAACGUUCUAUAGGAUC